UACGUAGGGUGCGAGCGUUGUCCGGAAUUAUUGGGCGUAAAGCGCUCGUAGGCGGUUUGUUGCGUCUAUCGUGAAAACCUGCAGCUUAACUGUGGGCUUGCGGUGGAUACGGGCAGACUUGAGUUCGGUAGGGGAGAAUGGAAUUCCUGGUGUAGCGGUGGAAUGCGCAGAUAUCAGGAGGAACACCGAUGGCGAAGGCAGUUCUCUGGGCCGUAACUGACGCUGAGGAGCGAAAGCGUGGGGAGCGAACAGG
rnacentral:rRNA from 1 species